rnacentral:rRNA from 1 species
CCCUUAGAUGUUCUGGGCCGCACGCGCGCUACACUGAUGCAUUCGACGAGUUUCUUCCUGGUCCGAGAGGAAUGGGUAACCUUUUGAAAGUGCAUCGUGAUAGGGAUAGACUAUUGCAAUUAUUGGUCUUCAACGAGGAAUUCCUAGUAGACGUAGUUCAUCAGACUGCAUCGAUUACGUCCCUGCCCUUUGUACACACCGCCCGUCGCUCCUACCGAUUGAAUGCUCAGGUGAGCCAUUCGGACUUUCAUCAUGCUGGUUUCCAGUUUUGAUGAAGGAAAGUCUUGCGAACCUUAUCAUUUAGAGGAAGGAGAAGUCGUAACA